AUUGGAAGUAAAAGUCGUAACAAGGUUUCCGUAGGUGAACCUGCGGAAGGAUCAUUAUAGAGAACUGCCCCCGGGCAAUCUCCCACCCUCUGCUUACAAUACUCUGUUGCUUUGGCAGGCCCGCCCUAGGGCCGCCGGCUCCGGCUGGUCAGCGCCUGCCAGGGGACCAAAACUCGUGAAUCAGUGUCGUCUGAGUGUCAUUUAAUAGUUAAAACUUUCAACAACGGAUCUCUUGGUUCUGGCAUCGAUGAAGAACGCAGCGAAAUGCGAUAAGUAAUGUGAAUUGCAGAAUUCAGUGAAUCAUCGAAUCUUUGAACGCACAUUGCACCCUCUGGCAUUCCGGGGGGUAUGCCUGUUCGAGCGUCAUUACAACCCUCAAGCCUUGCUUGGUGUUGGGUGCCACCUGUCACAGGGUGCACCUCAAAAUCAGUGGCGGUGCGGCCUGGCUUCAAGCGUAGUAACUCUUCUCGCUCCGGAGCCCAGGCGGCAUACCUGCCAACAAUCUCAAACACAUCAAAGGUUGACCUCGGAUCAGGUAGGGAUACCCGCUGA
rnacentral:rRNA from 1 species